UUAACUGGAAACGUGGCUUGGAGCUGCACAUGUCAACGUGCUGCCGUUUUUGCAUCCUGUUAUGCAGCGUGGAUUAUUACAAAUCGCACUUAAUGUGCUACAGCAGCAAAUAGCAGGUUGAGAUGUUACAGCCUGCAUGUGAAAGUGAAGACAAAACCCCAAUCCCAGUUCCCACCUUGGACAUAUCCCUCGUGCGCCUGGACAGGAUAGCGCUCUGUUUCUUUUGGAGAUUGAACUUUAUGUGUGACCUAAUGCUAAAAAUGACCAUGCUCCAUUUGGAAGCCUGGAAAAAUGCAGGGGCUGUGCCACACAGGAAAUUGGGAUUGGGCAUGAAUCUGAUGGAAACUUGUUAACACCAGAAUAUGCGCUUGUUUUGGAACCAGUAAGACAACGGAAAUGCGUGAAAGCUGUCAGCAGAGCAGCACCCUGUAAGCAGGGUUAAAGGUCUUCUAAUGUCACCUACAGGCACUGACGUUCCCUCCAAGACCCAAUUUUAGCCUGGAUUUGUUCACCUUUGGUCAAAUUGAUUAAAGGCAGUGGAAUUAUCUGUGAGCAGCUCCAGUCAGAGAUAUGUGCAUUUAUUUGUAUCAUUUGGCACCAUAAGGAAACCAACACACAGCAGAAUUCUCCGACUUACUCAACCUCUAAAGUUCUCUGUGAGCGACAAUCGAACUGAUCGCAGCUGUCCAGUCCUGCCCUCUAACCCUGCUAAUCCUUUUUCAAGACUGGCAAAGCUGGAUGCCUCCUUUCUCCAGUGAAAUUCCUUGGAUAUAGAAUGGAUGGGGUUUUGAUAUUUAUGAGCUGAGUUAGGACAUCCAACCCACAUUCCUACAGGCUGCAGUCAGACAAAGUGUUUUAUUUUCCCUGAUAUAUGCUGCUGUCCAGGUAAUGUAAAUCUUGUCAUCAGAUGGUGCACACAGGGCUCUACGCUGACGUCCAGUCACCCUCCAGUUUGGUUCUAAUGCUGAAAGGGGCAUCAAUUAUGAAUAUAUCGGAUAUGACUGCAUUUGACUCCCAUUCUAAAAAUUUUUCUGUUUCUUAAAAUCUGUGUGCUGGGUGUCAUUUUGGAAAUCAGUGCUUCAUGUCAUGACAACUUUUCUGUAAGAUGGCAAGACUUCAGUUUGAGGUAGCCGGAUAUAAUUCCAAACUCUGAAAAUCAGCAUGGCUGUAAAUGUAAAAACAUCAGUGAUAUCAGUGGGUCACACCUCACUGCCUCCUUCUCUGUGCUUUGUAUUAGUACGUGUGCCAUCUUAAUAACUCAGUGUAUCAGAUGAGGUGUGUGACUUCUUGAACAGGCUUAUAAUCUUAGAGUCUUGUGACCUGAUAGUAAAAGUAAUUAAAAGGGAAGUGAAAGCUGUGAUAAAAAGUACCGGGAAUGCCGAGAGGGUAGAUGGCUGUGGGAAAGGGAAGUAACUAAAUGGAAAUAUCGGUUUUUAUAUCAUAUGUUGCUUUAUCUGACAAACCUGACACUCAACAGGCCCCUUUAUGUCACAUUAGGAUGUCAGUCUUUGAGUUUACAAUCAUCAAAGUAAGUAUGCCUGGAAACAGAUUUGGGUGCAUUGUAUUGUAUUGAUUUUAGUUUCCCAUAGACUAACACAGGAACCAUCACCUGUUGGUUUGAUGACUUUCACUGUGAAGCCUUAAUUGCCUUAUCCUUUAAACCACAUGUCACAAAUUAGAGAUAGAUAUGAUUUAAAAACACAAAACAUUGCACUCUCAUAUGGUUCUGGCUCAAUCACAUGCUGCUUUACUCUAAUUCUGACCAUAUGAUACCAUAACGCUCUCAGCUGUGGCCUCACAUGAGACUAACACGUGUCGGAGCUUUUUCCUCUUUAUCACUGGCCAAUCUAAAAACUCCAGCGACAGCUACUUUUGAGAUUUAGGAGCGAUUUGUCAUCCAGCCUUGAUUUUCUUUCAGACAGAACAGAAUGUUCAUUCCAGCCAUCAGCAGGGGUUAUGACAUUUGGGGAAUGGUGAAAUAAAUUAAAUAGUUAUAGCAGAAAUGAUCAGUCACACACAGUCUUUGGUUUGGACCCAGGAGGCCACCUUACUGCUAAUCCCCUUUAUUGAUUCAUUGACCAACUAGGAAACACUACUUGGUCUCCUAACAUAACACAACAUAACUCUCGUGUUCAUCCCUCUACCUAACCACAACCCUGUGCUAUCAGAAAAUAGUCCUCCAAGGUCAGUGUUAUCAGGGCGUAACGGUUCAGCUGGUGCAUGUCAAAAAAUGUUUUUACCAAAGAAGUCAUUUUUUCAGGGUUUGUGUUAUUUGUCAUAAAUAUAGUCAUAGAUCUCACAGAGUAAACAUUGCUAGGACCAUUAGGGAUGAUUCAGUGGUGCUAUAAUGUGUUUCUGUGAGUGCAAUGCAGACUUGAAUGCUCGCACUGGAUAAAUUGAAUCACAUUUACAGAAAAAAAUAGCUGAAGACAAAUAAAAAAUAAAUAAAAAUUAUCAUAUUUUUCCUGGGUUUGUUACUCAUUCUUAAGAAGUUACAGGUGUAUCUAUUUUCCUUUCAUAUUUCAGCUAUGCACAGAAAAAGGCAUAACCCAAUGCAAGAUGCUGGAGGCAGGAAUAAAACUCAGAUAUGUCUUUAAUUCAAGGAAAUCUGAAGAAUUUACAAAAUCUGAAACCAACGAGCAAAACAGGGAAUACCGAACCAGAGAGCUCAAGGUAGACUUGGAAAUGGGAAUGCAGAGGCUGGGAAUACGCAGCAGCAGACAGCCUUCUCCUACACCGAACAGACAAAAGGACUUUACACACCGGACGUGCAAUCUGCUGCAAUAAUUUAUUUUCAGAUCAGAUUUUUGCAUGCGAAUAAACAAAUCUGACCACUCAGACCACUGCAGUUGGCAAAGAGUGCACUUGUAGCUCGAAAACCUGCACCGGUACUGAGCGUACAGUGACAUGGAAAUAUAAAGUAAUCCUAUUUUACCUCAGGCACACAGUAAGACACUGCUUCAGGUCAAUUAGCUUUCAGAAAUGAUUUGUUCAAACUGCCUGAAAAAUCGUGAUACAGCUUCAGCUGGAUCACACCAUGAAAUUUACCCUGCUGCUGCCUUCUCCUGAUAAUUUGGCAUUGUUUUUAUAUCUGGUGUGCAAUUAAAAAACACCUGAUAACAAGGUGAGAAGUAACAGGUGUGAUGCACGAUUAGGCAAAACGGAAUAACAACAUGAAUAACACAGAGAACAACAGUUAACAAAAUAAAACAAGGCACAACUGAACGGGGAACGAGGGAGAAAAAAAUGAAAACAAACAAGGCAUCAUGCAAAAAAAAACAAUACAUGUAAACACUAAUAAAUAACAGAAAGCUAAACUAAAGCAAAAAGUUCCAAACUAGACUAAACUCUAAACUCUGGUUCCAAAACCAGACGAUCAUGACAUUUUUAAGUUUUAAUGCUCUGAGUGAUAGAUCGAUGUUCAGCCAGAACUCACCAGGAAAUAGCUGUGAACAAGAUUACAUGAUAUUUAUUAGGUUAGUUCUCCAUCGUUAACACCGAGUUUCUCUGCAUGUUUUAUUGUCUGAGCUGCUGUCGGAUGAGCCUGGAAAACGCUUCUGGCUCCUCCUCCUCCUCAAUCCCUGAAACAUAGACUGUCAGGUUUCGGUUAUUUGGGGGUCAACUGAAUUAUUGGUAUUUUAUUUGGAUGCAAGAUAACCAACGAGUAAAAACGAGGAACGCCUCAAAGACAGAAGACCCUGGAGAUUUUAAUUUUCUUUUCUCUUUUGCAUGCCUUUGUCUUUAAAUAAAGUUAGAGCUUGACAAACUACAUUUUAGAGAUACAUGAUUCUAGAGGACUUGUUUUAAUUAGCUUCCUUUGGUCUGGGCUGUGGCUGGGACAUUUUCAUUGUGACUCACUGACAUUUAUUGCAGUCAUAAAUAAAGUUUUUUAACUGCAUAGGAAAUUAAAAGCAACAGAGAAUUGAAUUGUGUGUCUGCUGUUCUCCGAAGGUCUCGGGUUAAAUAAUGCAUGUAAUGGUUCUUUUUAGUAUAAAACUCUGGAUGCAGCUCGGCUUUCAUUAUGACUGAGCCAUGUGGGCCAUAAAGUCAGUUUUACAGGGAAGUAAACUGUCUCCGUUUUCUAGGAACAAACAGAUGAAGCACUGCUCUCCAAUGUGAAGUUGGCCUUUCUUUUUUCACCAUCAUUCAUGCCAAAACCUCCCGAGACCCAGGAAUUGUUAAUCAAAUAUACAUGCAAGUGCUGCUGUUUGGCACCCAAUACAAGAUAGAUGCAUUUUGUUGGAUUGUUUGAUUUUUAUAAUCGUUUUGCACAGACCACUAACCCAAAGGGCAAGCAGUGAGCAGUUAAUGUUGUAAAGUGAAUGAGUUGACCACAAACAGAUGUGAAAGGACUACAGAGACACUCAAAACAGCUGUACAAAGAAAAAAGGCAACCAAAAACUCUUGCAGACUUUAAACACUUUGUAGAGGAUCGUGCUUCUUUGUGGGAGGAGCCGUAUGAAGAACCAGGAUCACUACACAUCACUGAGCCUCCAGUGAAGGAACGAAACCCCUCAGCUGUCUGCGGCGUUUUCACGUGGAGCAACCACGUGUCAUAAAAAAUGGAAGGAGCCUGGAAGAGCGACAAACUGCACUUCCCGUUACAGACAUUUAAGAUUGGCUCAUAAAGUGCAUUAAUCUCCAUGGUCUCCUAUGUUAAAAUACCCAAUUUCAACUCUGAAUUUAGCAUGUUUACAACCUGGUACCAAACAGCUUUUUGGGUUUCUGUGGAUAGUUUUCCUUACUUCAUCACAGCUGUAUAGGUAGUGAGGGUGAGUGGCUUCUUCUUCUUAAAUAUCCCCUGUAAUUUUUUUUUUAUUACUCCUUAAAAUUGGAUCCAUGGCCUCUUUGAUUGAAAGGUGGGUGCUGGCAUGCUGUUCUAGCUGGGCUUCACCUCAGCUAAUUCUAACUGAACUGGAUCUCUCCAAUGGAUUUAUGCUAUUUGAUGAAAUUAAAAUGGCUUGUUGUUCAAUUAACUUUACUAAUAACCCCUCCAAGAGGUCUGAUCCGGCUUUGGUGAGUGAAACUUUGAAAUUUUAUUAGUACGUUACAAUAUUUAGCAUAAUUAGCAGGACUCUGGACAGCAUGAUGGUAUGGAAGCUGGUGGCUACGUCCAUCUGUAACACAAGCUACUGUAGCAGUGUCAAACAUAAGGUCCGGGGACCAGAAUCAGCCUGACAAAAACUCCCAUUCAACCCACUGAACAACUUUGGAAAAGGUGAAGAGAAAUUUUUUAGUCCUAAAUAUAUUUUAAUAAGCUUUAGAACUUUCCCAAUGACCCCCAAGAUUAUAUCAGUGUAAUUAAGUAAAAGAUAAAGGUUUUAGUGUUUUAUAAUAACAGGGUAAUUGAGACAAUGAGCUACCAGAAGUUUUUCUGUAAUUUCUCACGAAGAGUCGCACUGACACAUUUCUGUCAUUUUUGUACAGUGGCAGUUCUUUAUCACGUGGGAAACGGAGACAAACUGCUGAAAAUGCAUUUCUUUUUUAUAUUAAGAAAUCUCAGGGAUUACAUGUGUAGUUAAACUUCUUUUCGUUCACAGAAAAAGCCAUUUGACUCGGUCCGCCCACUUAAGAUCAAAGCUGUGUGUGGCUCAUGAUGUGAAAUGAGUUUGAUCUCCCUGGUCUACAGAAACUGCUUACCUCUGCAUUGUUUGAACUUCAUGGUUUGGGUGCUGACUUCACCAGACUCUGUUAAACAAAUAAAUAUAAUCUUCAAAGA